GUGAGCCAAGAUUGUGCCACUGCUGCAUGCCAGCCUGGGCAACAGAGAAAGACUCUGUCUCAAAAAAAAAAAAAAAAAGAGUUAUCCAGAUAUUGCCUCUUAGCAACUGACGUUACCACUGAGGGUGCAGAUGUAGAACACACACCUGAGUUGCCCUGCCUGAGGGUGAGGGAGCUGGGAUGUAUAUACGCACCUGCCUAUCAGUGGUUGAGAAAUUCACCUGGGGUGGGAGGGAGGAGCUUUGAUUCUCCAGCACUUUUGCCCUCAUGGCCCAGCAGGCAAAGCAAAAGAAAGCUCUUAGGUGAAUAACUGUAGAAUUUGGGAAUUAGAAGUGUUAAUAGUAUGGGCAGGGGAUCCGUGGCACCCUAGACAUCUGCUGCAGACCUGUUCGGUGGGAUCCUUGGAGGACAACUGUGAGUUGAUGACUGGUAACCAGUGGGUCUGAGUGUCUGGGAUUUGGGGAGAGGCCUCUGCUAGAGAUGGAUAUUUGGGGGGUUGUCAGCAUUAAAGCCAUGGGAAGGGGUGAGAUGGCCAAGGGAGAGAUCAUGGAGUGAAGAGAGAAGAGGACCCAGAAUUGAGCCCUAAAGACCAUCAGCAUGUAAAGAGGUCGAUGGAGAGAAAUGAGCCACAAAAAGAAAUAAGAAGGAGCCAGCAGGAAAGUAGAGGGAAAACGAGGUGAGUGUGAUUUGGAAGAGGGAUCUGGAGAAGUCAGAAUGAUGAGGACAUCACCGUUGCUGAAGGUACCCACCAACAGAGUGAAUACUCUGAACAUAGUUCCAUUUCUUUAUUUCUUUUCUCCUGAGCCAGUGAGUCAAGCUCCUCUGGCCUCAUUUUAUUUGGGUACGGUUUACCCCACUGCCCAAAAAUGAUCUCCUUAUUCCCUAGAAGCUACCUAGGAGAUGUUUAAGAGAUCUGGGAGCACAACUUACCUCGUUGUCAGAAGACUGGCAUACAUCACCAUGUAAAAUGUUAGGCUGAAGGCUUGGUCCACUCUGGAGUCCAUCAGAAGUGGAGCACUCAGCCUAGGUCAGGCCCUUACAGAGGGAAAAGGGCCAUUUACUGAGUGCCAUGGAAAAUGGAUGAACCCAACUUGGCACCAGUCACCCACAUCCCCGCCUUCUCAGUUUGGGUCGCAGAAGUCCUCAGGAGGGACAAGGCUGGCUGUGAUGGUUGGGUUCUGGCUGUGAUGGCUAGGCUUUGGUGACCCUGGGCUCCCAUUCCUAAUGAUGUGAUCUUCUUUGAGAGGUCGUUGGAGGAGAAUUGGGUCUUGAAGUAAUGCCCAUAGUCUAUACUGACAGGACAUGCCCACAGCUGCCCUGUUGUGACCAGGGCCCAGACCUUUUAUAUAGAGUGCUCACUGCCCUCCAGGCCCUACUGCCAGAGGAAGGCUGACCAUGAGUUGGCUGUAGCAUUAGUUUCAGGUACUUAUCUCUCAUUGCAUUAUUUCCUCCUAAAGACCUGGUCAGAGGAACAGGGGAUAUUAAUCAUUAUUGUCUCAGUCACUUUAUAUUAGUAACAAGAGACUGGCUUUGCCAACACUCAAUAUCAAAUUAUACUUCUGCCAGCUCUCAGGCAACAGACAGAGUUACCCCUGAUUUGUGGGUCAUUCAAACCAAAAAUUACUUAGUAUUUAUCCUAAACAUGUACAAUUUUUAUGUUUCUAUUUCCAAGGGAACUUGGUCUUAACAGUAUUCUGUUGGAAAUCUCCUUACCCAGGCUAAUCUCCAAACUGCUUUCUCUUGAUCCACCUUCUUGUUCUCAAGUGGAUCCUCACGAGCAGAGCCCUAAGGACCCCUUUCCUCCUUAGGAUGAUGAAAGGACCCCCCCCACCCCCACAUUAGGAAGCAGGAUCACAGUGCUCCUUUUAGUAGCAUCUUUUUAUUUACAAGACACUGCUGAUUCUGUAUUGUUCUGAUUUUAAGCUAAAACAAACUAGAGAUUAAAAUGAUUUUUAAAUGGA